rnacentral:rRNA from 1 species
UGGAUCCAGACUUUGAUCCUGGCUCAGGAUGAACGCUGGCGGCGUGCCUAAUACAUGCAAGUCGAACGAAUCUUCUUCGGAAGAUGAGUGGCGAACGGGUGAGUAAUACAUAGGUAACCUGCCCCUGUGCGGGGGAUAACAGGAGGAAACUCCUGCUAAUACCGCAUAGCCAUGAGCACCGCAUGGAGCUCAUGCCAAAUAUCCUUCAGGGGAUAGCGCAGGGAUGGACCUAUGGCGCAUUAGCUAGUUGGCGGGGCAACGGCCCACCAAGGCAACGAUGCGUAGCCGGCCUGAGAGGGCGGACGGCCACAUUGGGACUGAGACACGGCCCAGACUCCUACGGGAGGCAGCAGUAGGGAAUUUUCGGCAAUGGGGGAAACCCUGACCGAGCAACGCCGCGUGAGCGAAGAAGGCCUUCGGGUCGUAAAGCUCUGUUGUAAAGGAAGAACGUCGCAUGCAGGAAAUGGUGUGCGAGUGACGGUACUUUACCAGAAAGCCACGGCUAACUACGUGCCAGCAGCCGCGGUAAUACGUA